CUCCAGGUUGCUUAGGGAAGCCUCAGAGCUCAGGUGGCUGAGAAUGACAGUACACAUCAGGCGAUGGAGAUGUUUCUCUUUCUUCUGAUAAGCACUUAAAUGCUUACCAGGUUCCACUACCUGGGCAACAAAUGUCAUCCUUGCCUUUGGCUGUGGAUUGGUGCAUUUGAUCCUAUCAAUCCCUUGUUUUCAGCCUAAUCCAACUUCCCCAAAACAUGGGGAAAAGAAGAGGAGAAUAUCAGAAAGCUUUCAAAUUUGCAACUGCAAGACUGAUACACAUUUUGCAAGGAUCUGUCUGAUGUGUACAACAAACAUUGGAAUUAAGGCUUCUACAAUACUGGUAUGUGGUCAAGUCUAUGGCUGUGCAAUGCUGGACUUCCGCAAAGCAUCUCCAGCUUCCACUGUUACCCAACUUGUAAACCAGAAGAUGUGCUGAUGUAGGUGGAUAGCAGCUCCAAGACAAGUCUGAGAGCACUGAACACAUUAAGAAGUGAUUGCUGAGCCCGUUAGGGACAGGCACGUCUGCGGACACUGUAGCAGGGUCCCCGGCCGCGGAGAACACGCCGAUCCAGCCCGUUUUGGACAGUUGUGUGUAUCCAUGCAUUUGUGAUUGUAUAGUAAAAGGAUUCCUGGAGGAUUUCUGAAAAUUGGUAGCAAUGUCUCAGGGAAACUGAUAAACUGGGCAACAGGAAAAAAAAGAGAAAUUACUUGAAACAGAGAGACCAAGAGAAAGCAGCAGCUUCAGCAGCAGCCCUAAAAGAAAUAGACUGUAAUUCUGAUCCUCAAGACUGCAGGAAGAGCUCGACGACUAAACCCACCUGCCACCACUGCAAAAAGCCAGGCCAGCUUAAGAAGGUCUGUGACAAGAGGCCUCCUGGUCCAUGCCCCGAUUGCAAAGGUGACCACUGGAAGUUGAACUGCCCUCUGAGGCCCCAGAGCUCAGACCCAUCUUGCCAGGUGGUCCAGCAAGACUGAAGGGUCCCAGGGACUCUGCCUUCUCCCUCUGGCUAGACUGUCAUUUCCACAGAGGAGCCCUGGGUAAUCAUGACUAUAGAGAGAAAAUAAACCAGCCUAUUUCUGGACACUGGCAUGUGUCUCUCAGUCCUUCAACC
rnacentral:lncRNA from 1 species